GAACAACAGGUGCAUUGUGGGUCCAAAUGAACAAACAUGCUAAUAGCUAAUCGCUGUCAUAACGGACAUGUCGCUGUUUGUUAGACUUUAGGACCAGACAGCUUCAAAGGAGCACGUCUUCUACACAGACUCCACUGUGUUGCACAGCCAUGUUUCUACGGCAGCCCAGAAUGGACAAACCAAACUAUGGCUCAAGGGAGAACCGUCUGCGGUUUCAGCCCCCUCUGUCGGGGUGCGUGUGCUGGUGUGUGCAGGUGUACGCUGCUCCAUCUGCGUCUGCCGCUGAUGAAUAAAGCCAUGAAAUAGAUCCAGCUGGAGAUGUGCGUAGGAGACCGAGGCCUCCUGGGAAAUCAUCCAUACCUCCACCGGCACUGUGUCCACUUCCCCAGCACCCCAGAGAGCUAUCAAUAAGUGGGUAAUUGAAUUUUAAGCACA